rnacentral:lncRNA from 1 species
CUCCCCCAAAGCCAGAAAUUCAUUUUGUCCAUGACUUGCCUCCCAUAUCACCAGAGGUAACUAUUUUACUGUAUGAUUUGCCACUGAAUGACACGAGUCAACACCACUCAAGCCUCUGAUACAUGUAUUGCUUCAGGUAUCGUGGGUCAAGGAGGGUCUCUUGGCACUGAGCUUUGCUGCCUUGGAAGACGGUUGAUGCAGGUGGGAUCUCCCCAGGCCAGCUGGCAUGUUGCAAGGUUACAGACUCCAUUCCUUGAGUUCUAGAAGCUGGGAAGUUCAAGAUCAAGAUGCCAGCAGAUUCCACGUCUGGAUCGUGUAACGAUCAAGAGAAUGGAAGACAGGCUGAGUUUGAAUGUCAGCUCCUCCACAUCUGGCGAGAAUUUGUACGAGUUAACCAACCUCUCUGUGUCUAAGUUUCCUCAUCAAUAAAACAGGAAUGAUAAAAUAGAA